rnacentral:lncRNA from 13 species
UAGAGGAUGGUAGAAAUCCAUGAAUUCGGUCCAUAGAUUUGAUGAGAGAAAAGACAAGUUGACGACAGAUUCUAGAAGGAC